UUGUGAAAGGAGCAGCAUUGUCACAUUAAUUACAAUGAGUUUUCCGAACCUAAUGGAGUCCUACAUGUGGAUUGUAUAGGCACUCUGUCCAAAAAUGAUGAAGCCAUUACCAGUGAGACGUUGAAAUUAUCUUCUCUAGCCAAUGACAAUUAUACCUGUUCAACAAAUGGGGCUGAAGCGGAGCACCUCAUUGUAUAUAAUUCUCCCUCAGCCUGUCAGAAUUGUGUACCCAAGGAUUUCGGGGGAAUAGCUGGGGUUGUCAUUGCAAGUCUCACCUUCACCAUCUUGAUCGCCGUUGCUGUUUAUUCUGUAUCAGCACAGGACAAAACGUGGAGUCACCAAGCCUCUGACAGACACCCACUGAUGCGCAAUGAUGUUAAUGAGGCAGUGUAUUCGCAUCUUAACAACGAUAACCGAGCCAUGUACAGUGAGCUGGGGAGAAGGGCCAGGCACUGAAGGAAUCCACACCCUGCAGCAUAAAGGCUUUAUCCACUUAGCAACCGAAUCGUGGAGCUUCAACAACCUAUCUGUGCUUUAGAACUUUAAAAUAAAUAGUUUGUUGAGUA